CCUACGGGAGGCUGCAGUGAGGAAUAUUGGUUAAUGGACGAGAGUCUGAACCAGCCAAGUAGCGUGAAGGAUGACUGCCCUAUGGGUUGUAAACUUCUUUUAUAUGGGAAUAAAACGUUCCACGUGUGGGAUUUUGUAUGUACCAUAUGAAUAAGGAUCGGCUAACUCCGUGCCAGCAGCCGCGGUAAUACGGAGGAUCCGAGCGUUAUCCGGAUUUAUUGGGUUUAAAGGGAGCGUAGGUGGAUUGUUAAGUCAGUUGUGAAAGUUUGCGGCUCAACCGUAAAAUUGCAGUUGAAACUGGCAGUCUUGAGUACAGUAGAGGUGGGCGGAAUUCGUGGUGUAGCGGUGAAAUGCUUAGAUAUCACGAAGAACUCCGAUUGCGAAGGCAGUUCACUGGACUGCAACUGACACUGAGGCUCGAAAGUGUGGGUAUCAAACAGGAUUAGAUACCCGUGUAGUC
rnacentral:rRNA from 1 species